GACGAACGCUGGCGGCGUGCUUAACACAUGCAAGUCGAACGGAAAGGCCCCCUUGUGGGGUACUCGAGUGGCGAACGGGUGAGUAACACGUGAGUAACCUACCCUUGACUUUGGGAUAACUUCAGGAAACUGGGGCUAAUACCGGAUAGGAGCUCCUGCUGCAUGGUGGGGGUUGGAAAGUUUCGGCGGUUGGGGAUGGACUCGCGGCUUAUCAGCUUGUUGGUGGGGUAGUGGCUCACCAAGGCUUUGACGGGUAGCCGGCCUGAGAGGGUGACCGGCCACAUUGGGACUGAGAUGCGGCCCAGACUCCUACGGGAGGCAGCAGUGGGGAAUAUUGCACAAUGGGCGGAAGCCUGAUGCAGCAACGCCGCGUGCGGGAUGACGGCCUUCGGGUUGUAAACCGCUUUCGCCUGUGACGAAGCGUGAGUGACGGUAAUGGGUAAAGAAGCACCGGCUAACUACGUG
rnacentral:rRNA from 1 species